AGUAGCCAGCAGUUUUCUGGGGGCGAGAAAACCUGUGUUUUUGCGCUUAGGUUAUUUUUAUCUGGCUGAAACUUUACCUAUUAGCUUUUGAGGCUCAGACCCUGAGUCUUUGUUCUGCAUGGGACUGCUGCUGCCACUUAAAGAGAUCGCCGAUAAUGUCCCCGAUUUAAGAUCGGUGCUCAAUGCACAUUAACUUUCUUUCUUUCUUUCUUUCUUUUUUAAGCUCUGCCUCUAACCUACGGAGGGAUCACGCGGCAGUGGGGGGCAGAUAAAAGCCCUUUGGCCGAGGGUCACCUCCGUCCUUGUUGUUCACUUGAGAGCAGUGGAGAGGAAAACGGUCCCCACGGGCGGACUUUGGCUUCUGGAGCCGCGGAGCCCAGCGGUCCGGGCCUCCCCGAGCUCCGCCUGUGAGAAAAGCCUGGUUCCCGAGCCAGUGGAGCCGGUCCUCUCGCCCCUCCCGUUCCCACGCGAGUCCCCCCUUCAGCCAUCGCCACUGCCACCACCUCGGUUCCACUCAAUCGAUUUUUGCUGCAUGUCAACACUUAUUACCGAAGACCUUAGAAAGAUCUAAGGUUAUGACUCAAGAGAGCCAUCCAGUGGCUUCAUCCCCAUCCGGACCUGGUUAAGAUGACAAGAUUGUAGACUUUGAGAUGGUGCUAUAAGGGGAUGAGAUGUUUGGUGGCCUUGAGAAGAUGUUUUAAGAAAACCUCCCAAUAACCCUUGAAAUGACAGUACAUCUUUACUGGGAUCUCUCUCCUGAAUUAUGCAUAUUUUUAUUCUCGAAUUAUGUUAAGGAUCCAGAUCUACUCUAGGACUACUGACUACAUAGAGCUAAGUAAUACUAGUUUACUGAAAAGAAUUGCUCCCUCUAGUGAAUUCACACUAUUACUUCACUUUUUGGCACUGCUGCAUUGCAUAAUUUAAUAAAUGAUAUAAAUGAU